rnacentral:rRNA from 1 species
AGCAGCCGCGGUAAUUCCAGCUCCAAUAGCGUAUAUUAAAGUUGUUGCAGUUAAAAAACUCGUAGUUGAAUUUCGGGAUCAGUACGCCGGUCGUGCCUUCGGUAUGCACUGGUGUCACUGAUUCCUCCCUUCUGAAGAACCGUUAUGCCAUUUUAUUUGGUGUGGCGGGGAAUCAGGACUGUUACUUUGAAAAAAUUAGAGUGUUUAAAGCAGGCUCGCGCUUGAAUACAUUAGCAUGGAAUAAUGAAAUAGGACGUUUGAUCUUAUUUUGUUGGUUUCUAGGAUCGACGUAAUGAUUAAUAGGGAUAGUUGGGGGCAUUAGUAUUCAAUUGUCAGAGGUGAAAUUCUUGGAUUUAUUGAAGACUAACUAACUGCGAAAGCAUUUGCCUAAGGAUGUUUUCAUUAAUCAAGAACGAAAGUUAGGGGAUCGAAGACGAUCAGAUACCGUCG